rnacentral:rRNA from 1 species
GUAGUCCACGCUGUAAACGAUGUCGAUUUGGAGGUUGUGCCCUUGAGGCGUGGCUUCCGGAGCUAACGCGUUAAAUCGACCGCCUGGGGAGUACGGCCGCAAGGUUAAAACUCAAAUGAAUUGACGGGGGCCCGCACAAGCGGUGGAGCAUGUGGUUUAAUUCGAUGCAACGCGAAGAACCUUACCUACUCUUGACAUCCAGAGAACUUAGCAGAGAUGCUUUGGUGCCUUCGGGAACUCUGAGACAGGUGCUGCAUGGCUGUCGUCAGCUCGUGUUGUGAAAUGUUGGGUUAAGUCCCGCAACGAGCGCAACCCUUAUCCUUUGUUGCCAGCGGUUCGGCCGGGAACUCAAAGGAGACUGCCAGUGAUAAACUGGAGGAAGGUGGGGAUGACGUCAAGUCAUCAUGGCCCUUACGAGUAGGGCUACACACGUGCUACAAUGGCAUAUACAAAGAGAAGCGACCUCGCGAGAGCAAGCGGACCUCAUAAAGUAUGUCGUAGUCCGGAUUGGAGUCUGCAACUCGACUCCAUGAAGUCGGAAUCGCUAGUAAUCGUAGAUCAGAAUGCUACGGUGAAUACGUUCCCGGGCCUUGUACACUC